ACUGUGCGGGGAUGAACCUUAAUCUGGAGACGGUUGGAUGAAUCUUGCGGAUAUGGGACUGAGCACAGCC
rnacentral:snoRNA from 1 species